rnacentral:rRNA from 1 species
AGAGUUUGAUCCUGGCUCAGAACGAACGCUGGCGGCAGGCCUAACACAUGCAAGUCGAGCGCUCACCUUCGGGUGGGAGCGGCGCACGGGUGAGUAACACGUGGGAACCUACCUUGAAGUACGGAAUAACUGAGGGAAACUUCAGCUAAUACCGUAUACGCCCUACGGGGGAAAGAUUUAUCGCUUCAAGACGGGCCCGCGUUGGAUUAGCUAGUUGGUGAGGUAAUGGCUCACCAAGGCAACGAUCCAUAGCUGAUUUGAGAGAAUGAUCAGCCACACUGGGACUGAGACACGGCCCAGACUCCUACGGGAGGCAGCAGUGGGGAAUAUUGGACAAUGGGCGCAAGCCUGAUCCAGCCAUGCCGCGUGAGUGAUGAAGGCCUUCGGGUUGUAAAGCUCUUUCAGAUGGGACGAUGAUGACGGUACCAUCAGAAGAAGCCCCGGCUAACUUCGUGCCAACAGCCGCGGUAAUACGAAGGGGGCUAGCGUUGUUCGGAAUUACUGGGCGUAAAGCGCGCGUAGGCGGCUUUGUCAGUCAGGGGUGAAAUCCCGGGGCUUAACCUCGGAACUGCCCUUGAUACUGCAAGGCUUGAGUCUGUGAGAGGAUGGUGGAAUACCCAGUGUAGAGGUGAAAUUCGUAGAUAUUGGGU